rnacentral:snRNA from 1 species
GAAGCAUUGGCUGCACACNCACUAAGUCAGAACAAUACAGAGAAGAUUAGCAUGGCCUCGGCAGAGGACAACAGGCAAAUAUGUGAAACAUUCCAUAGUUAA